rnacentral:rRNA from 1 species
CCUACGGGAGGCAGCAGUAGGGAAUAUUCCGCAAUGGACGCAAGUCUGACGGAGCGACGCCGCGUGAGUGAUGAAGGUCUUCGGAUCGUAAAACUCUGUUGUUAGGGAAGAACAAGUAUCGGAGUAAUAUGCCGGUACCUUGACGGUACCUAACCAGAAAGCCCCGGCUAACUACGUGCCAGCAGCCGCGGUAAU